rnacentral:tRNA from 1 species
UCGGCCGCUGCAGCAGCGGAGGCUGUGGGUCCGCUUAUGUCGGCCGGAUGUACUUCGAGUUCAACCUCGACGGCUGGG